AGAGCUCUAUUCCCAUCAAGGUGUGUGAGAUUCUCUGCUAAGACAAACCAAAAACCAGAUUGUUUUGCGUUCAUGGACAUGUUCCUCUCUGGAGAUUAGAAUCGUAGCUAUGACUAUGUCUGAAUUUCACAAGAGGUAGCUAACUCAGGCCUUUUUGCUCUUUUGACAGAAACACACUUCGGAAGAUGGAGAUCACUAACGUUACCGAGUAUGAUGCAAUCGCAAAGCAGAAGCUGCCUAAGAUGGUGUACGACUACUAUGCAUCUGGUGCAGAAGACCAAUGGACUCUUCAAGAGAACAGAAACGCUUUUGCAAGGAUCCUGUGAGUUUUUCUUUUCUUUUCGUAAGACAAGAAAUACUGUUUGUUAUUGGUUUUUACAAUAGGUGUGAUGCAUACCUUGGGCUGUUUAAUAGCUUUCGGCCUCGGAUUCUGAUUGAUGUGAGCAAGAUUGACAUGACAACCACCGUCUUGGGGUUCAAGAUCUCGAUGCCCAUCAUGGUUGCUCCAACUGCCAUGCAAAAGAUGGCUCACC
rnacentral:lncRNA from 1 species